AAGUUCUCAAAACCCACAUGGUGGAAUUUUGGAUAUGGGGGUUGCAGGCUUUUUGAAGUCGGCUCCUCUGAAAUGUAUCAGUGGUAUCUGUGUGGAACUACAGGUGUGAUAAAUGAAAUCUAUGCCUCGUCUCUCACUGUGCUGCUUCUGGCGGAGUUGGAUUGACAA
rnacentral:misc_RNA from 2 species